rnacentral:rRNA from 1 species
GAUGAACGCUGGCGGCGUGCUUAACACAUGCAAGUCGAACGAUGAAGCCCAGCUUUCUGGGUGGAUUAGUGGCGAACGGGUGAGUAACACGUGAGUAACCUGCCCUUGACUCUGGGAUAAGCCUGGGAAACUGGGUCUAAUACUGGAUAUGACUUCUCAUCGCAUGGUGGGGGGUGGAAAGAUUUAUUGGUCUUGGAUGGACUCGCGGCCUAUCAGCUUGUUGGUGAGGUAAUGGCUCACUAAGGCGACGACGGGUAGCCGGCCUGAGAGGGUGACCGGCCACACUGGGACUGAGACACGGACCAGACUCCUACGGGAGGCAGCAGUGGGGAAUAUUGCACAAUGGGCGCAAGCCUGAUGCAGCGACGCCGCGUGAGGGAUGACGGCCUUCGGGUUGUAAACCUCUUUCAGUAGGGAAGAAGCGAGAGUGACGGUACCUGCAGAAGAAGCGCCGGCUAACUACGUG